rnacentral:rRNA from 1 species
GGUGAGUAAUGUCUGGGAAACUGCCUGAUGGAGGGGGAUAACUACUGGAAACGGUAGCUAAUACCGCAUAACGUCGCAAGACCAAAGAGGGGGACCUUCGGGCCUCUUGCCAUCGGAUGUGCCCAGAUGGGAUUAGCUAGUAGGUGGGGUAACGGCUCACCUAGGCGACGAUCCCUAGCUGGUCUGAGAGGAUGACCAGCCACACUGGAACUGAGACACGGUCCAGACUCCUACGGGAGGCAGCAGUGGGGAAUAUUGCACAAUGGGCGCAAGCCUGAUGCAGCCAUGCCGCGUGUAUGAAGAAGGCCUUCGGGUUGUAAAGUACUUUCAGCGGGGAGGAAGGGAGUAAAGUUAAUACCUUUGCUCAUUGACGUUACCCGCAGAAGAAGCACCGGCUAACUCCGUGCCAGCAGCCGCGGUAAUACGGAGGGUGCAAGCGUUAAUCGGAAUUACUGGGCGUAAAGCGCACGCAGGCGGUUUGUUAAGUCAGAUGUGAAAUCCCCGGGCUCAACCUGGGAACUGCAUCUGAUACUGGCAAGCUUGAGUCUCGUAGAGGGGGGUAGAAUUCCAGGUGUAGCGGUGAAAUGCGUAGAGAUCUGGAGGAAUACCGGUGGCGAAGGCGGCCCCCUGGACGAAGACUGACGCUCAGGUGCGAA